AACCUGGAUGCUUGAGAGCUUCGGAGUUUCAGAGCUUCAGAGCUUCAAGGUGUAAUAUGAAUUGGUUCCUUCAAAUGAAUGAAUUAGCCUUCUAUUUAUAGAAAUUUCCAAGGCCUAAUUUUGAAUAUAAUAUCCCAGAUGAAAUAAGUCGUUUCUGCCAGGUGUUAACAUGUGUCCUGUUUGAUGACUUUUCCAACUAUUUCGAUUUUUUGUUUAGACACACGCUACGUGUAAAAUUUAUGUAAUACAUGAGCGUUGAAACUUUGAUUUAUCGGUCAACAUUUAUUUACUGAAAUUUCGAUGUCUACAAAUGCCCCCACUUCAAGGCGCGUCGUAUACAUGUGCUUGUCGCGUGUAGGAGAUGUGUUUUGAAGUCACUUAAUGUAGAUGUCGAUCCAAGGGCCAUCGAGGCUUGAUCUUGAAUUGGGCUGGAGCUUUCUUCAAGGGUCGUUGAGGCUUGUUCUUGAACUUUUGUUUGAAAUUUCUUCAAGGGCCGUUGAGGCUUGUUCUUGAACUUUUGUUUGAAAUUUCUUCAAGAGCCGUCGAGGCUUGAUCUUGAAGGUUGAAAUUGGACCACAAGGAACUUCAUGUGGUAGAUGAUCUUUGGCUUUGGUAGUGGAUGAAUCGGCACGUAUUUUGUUGCACUUGUUGACUUUCCACAACUUUGAUCUUGAACUGGAUUGGAGGACUUUCUAGAUUCCUCCAAUUGUUGACUUUCCACAGCUUAUUCUUGAACUGGGUUGGAGGAUUUUCUGGUUUCCUCCAAUUGUUGACUUUCCACAGCUUAUUCUUGAACUGGAUUUGAUUCAAGGGUGGUAGACACUUGAUCUUGAAUCGGAUUUGUGAUUUCUUCAAGGGUCGUUAAGGCUUGAUCUUGAACUUUGGCUGGAAGCUUCUUCAAGGACCUUUGAGGCUUGAUCUCGAAGGUUGAUUCGAACACAUGGCAAGCAGGCACGAGGUAAAGGUGACAGCCUGUUUCUUUGUUCAAUCUUUCUAAUUCACACCUGAGCAGUUUGGUCAACGGUAUGAUCUUCAAGAUUGAUGGGCUCUUCUUCCAGUUGGUGACUUGAUCUUUAAGGAUUCGAUUCAAGGGUGGUGAAUCGGCACGUGCAGCCCACAACGCCUAGUAAGUCGACCCAAGAAUUUAAGGGUCAAAACCAGUUUACCGUCCAGAGUGAUUGCAACCCUGAUGAUAUGAGAUACUUUUGAUUUUGAAGAAGUAGCGGAUGACUCAGUACGUGCUUUGUUGCACUUGUCUCCACAUGCUUCAAGGUAUCAUUUUCAUUUCCUUUAACUGUUCCUCAGGCAGAUGCGGCAUCUUCUCGAGUUCUUCAUCUCAGACUCCUUCUGCUGAGUUGACUGUGCAUGCUGCAUUCUUUUCUGCUUGUUUCUUCAGGCAGAUGUGGCAGCUUCUCGAGUUCCUCAGUUCGGACUCCUUCUGCUGAGUUAACUGUGCAGACCGCAUUCUUCUCUACUUGUUUCUUCUG
rnacentral:lncRNA from 1 species